GCACCGACACCCUUGAGAGGCUUCUCGUGGAGAUACUGAGGUGGCAACCUGGGGACACACAAAGCUGUAAAGCCUGGAGACUCUUGGGUGGUCUUCCAGAUCUCUCUCUUUUCCUCCAGGAGGUCUGGAAGGUUGUAGACUCAGUUUUGCAGCAUGAACAAAAGGUCAGCUGCCAUGGAGGGGACUUCCCAGACCUUUGGAAGCUGUUAACAUCUGGAAACAACACCACUCUCCCUCGGCUGUCCCAGCAACUGGUGAAGUCUUUUCAUCAAGAGAUCCAACCAGAACCUUAGAAACAUAUCUUGGCUUUCCUCCCAUUAAAGGCAGCUCUCCAUAGCAGCUGGAAUCGCAGGAGGAAACAGGAAAUCCAAGACGGUUCCUCCCGGAGGAGAGCUGAGGCUUCUACUGGGCGGGGCAUGGGAUGCAUGAGGGCAGGGGUUUCUGUCCCGGGCCCUGAAGACUGUGUCCAUAUCCAAAUUGGGGUGAAGCCAACCCAGGUCUGACCUGGGAAAGCCCCCGGGGGACUUUCCUCUCACAUCCUGGCAUGUGUUUCCUGGGGGAGGAAGUCCAUAGUCUCUUCCUAGAGGGAUUCCCCUUCCUGGGGACACCUCAUCCACCACCUCCACAGACCAGUCACUAUGGAGACUGUUUUGCAGAGGCGGGGUAAGUUCCUCCUGGCUUCCCUGGGCCCUGGAGCCAGUUUGGGGUGAGGGCUGAGGGCAGGGCAUUCUGACUUGCUGAAAAGUUCUAGGUUUGCUCAUCACGAA